rnacentral:lncRNA from 10 species
CAGCCCUGUAGGAGACACCUCCAGAGAAAGUAACAGCUCUCAAUUGAUUAGCUGAGGAGACCGAUUUUGUAAAUCACUACUUUUCUAACAACACUGGCACAGAUGGCCAAGCAUUCUCCCUUUUCUCAGAGCUGGUUUUCCAUCCCGGAAAGAGGAGCUGAUACCAUCAGCAUUCUUACUGAAGAACUCCUUAGUGAAAUAGGGAAGUUCAUAAAAUGCUUGUGAGAAGAUGGAAUAAAUAGGAAUUUCUGUAUUCCUCCUGAUAAGUACAACUAAAAACCCUGGACAUUAUUUAUAAAACAAACUGAAGAAGACUCUGAAAGAUAGAGAGGAGAAAGCAGACCACCUAGGGACCUCAGGACUCAAGGAACAAAAUGGUAGUGAUACCUUGGGUAUUCUUUUUGCGUCAUAUAUUGCAGAAUUGGAGCUGAAGAAGCCAGCAACUCAGAAAUGCCACUAGGCAUAGACCAAAAACAGAAAGAAAAAGAAAAUCCUCAAAAAGAGCUUGUAAG